rnacentral:rRNA from 1 species
CGGAGCAUGCGGAUUAAUUCGAUGCAACGCGAAGAACCUUACCAAGGCUUGACAUGCAGGGAAAUCUCACAGAAAUGUGAGGUCCGCAAGGGUCCUGCGCAGGUGGUGCAUGGUUGUCGUCAGCUCGUGUCGUGAGAUGUUGGGUUAAGUCCCGCAACGAGCGCAACCCUCGUUCUAUGUUGCCAGCGGAUAAUGCCGGGGACUCAUAGGAGACUGCCGGGGUCAACUCGGAGGAAGGUGGGGAUGACGUCAAAUCAUCAUCGCCCCUUAUGUCUUGGGCUUCACGCAUGCUACAAUGGCCAGUACAAAGGGCUGCGAGACCGCAAGGUGGAGCGAACUACCCAAAAAGCUGGUCUCAGUUCGGAUUGGGGUCUGCAACUCGACCCCAUGAAGUCGGAAUCGCUAGUAAUCGCGGAUCAGCACGCCGCGGUGAAUACGUUCCCGGGCCUU